rnacentral:rRNA from 1 species
AUUGAACGCUGGCGGCAUGCCUUACACAUGCAAGUCGAACGGCAGCACGGGUGCUUGCACCUGGUGGCGAGUGGCGAACGGGUGAGUAAUAUAUCGGAACGUGCCCUAGAGUGGGGGAUAACGUAGCGAAAGUUAGGCUAAUACCGCAUACGAUCUACGGAUGAAAGUGGGGGAUCGCAAGACCUCAUGCUCCUGGAGCGGCCGAUAUCUGAUUAGCUAGUUGGUGGGGUAAAAGCCUACCAAGGCGACGAUCAGUAGCUGGUCUGAGAGGACGACCAGCCACACUGGGACUGAGACACGGCCCAGACUCCUACGGGAGGCAGCAGUGGGGAAUUUUGGACAAUGGGGGAAACCCUGAUCCAGCAAUGCCGCGUGUGUGAAGAAGGCCUUCGGGUUGUAAAGCACUUUUGUCAGGAACGAAACGGUGGGGGCUCAUACCUCCUGCUAAUGACGGUACCUGAAGAAUAAGCACCGGCUAACUACGUGCCAGCAGCCGCGGUAA